rnacentral:lncRNA from 1 species
UCUUCUCUUCAAACCUCCGCGAUCAACUCUUCAAGACUCCAUUCGACUUCACGAAAUCCGCAAACCUAGAAAAUCCUUAACAAUCUACCCUUUUGGCGAUUUCGUGACAAAACAUAAUACAACGCUCGAACACAACUCAGAAAUGAUAAAAAGAAGAUCAUCACAAUCACCAAACGACAAUCUCCUGCAUGAUCGAUCCAAUAAAAGAAAAAAUUACAUUUUUCUCACAAUCCUAAUACAAACUCUAUGACUUAGAC